rnacentral:RNase_P_RNA from 1 species
CACGGUGCCGGCUAACGGCCGGCGAGGGCGACCUUAGGGAAAGUGCCACAGAAAGCAAACCGCCCGUAUUUAUAUGGGUAAGGGUGAAAGGGUGCGGUAAGAGCGCACCGCGGUGUUGGUAACAACAUCGGCACGGUAAACCCCACCGGGAGCAAGACCGAGAAGGACGGCCAGGGGCUUUGGGCCUCAGGUGUGUUUUUGCACCGUCGUUCGGGUGUGUCGCACGAGGCGUAUGGCAACAUACGUCCCAGAUGAAUGGCCAUCUAUCGCGCUUAAUGCCCUAAAGGCAGGCAGUGCGUGGACAGAACCCGGCUUACAGGCCAUCUGACCCA